rnacentral:misc_RNA from 1 species
AUUUUUGUCAGUACGUCUUUAAGAUACUAUUAGGCUAUACAAGAUCCCUCGGAACUGUUUCAAGUCAACUAAUAAGCUUUCAAUUUUGUAUAUAGAUGUAUCGAAUACAAAUCCGUGAUGUGUAAAGUGGAAUUUGGUGGUAAAAAUAUUUAUCAAUAAACUUAUCUACUAAAUACAGUUGAUUGUCAGAUAUGCAUCCGAAACUUUAUAGCAACAAGUUAAUACAGGACUUUUAGUAACACCUAAAGAGUUAUCCUAAAUUAUUUAUGUCCGAUUGUUAAAAUAAAACCAAAACUUUAAAAACGAAAUUCAACGCUCCGAUGAAGAUAAUAAUUUAAACUUCAAAUGAAAACAAAGGCGAUGAAAUGUGUAAAAUAUGUUUUUCAAUAUCGAAACGAAAUGAAAUUCACUGAUAAGGCGCCGCGCCGAUAUAACAGUUGGUACUCGUAUUGUGUCAGGGCUUAAAAUAUUCGAGUUUUAAUUUAAAAACGGAAUUAACAAUUAUGUGGAUUAAUUAUUUUAUUUACGUGUUAUUUAUAUUGUGUAAGUAAUAUUUACUAUUGUGUAUCUACGGCAGUAAAUAAUAUAGCCACUCCCUCUCUUCCCGUAGGUGUCGUAAGAGGCGACUAAGGGAUAACACAGUUCCGCUACCACCUUGGAACUUAAAACCCGACCGAUGGCGAUAUAGCCGUCUGCUGGCUUUAAAAUACACAAGCCGAAGACGGGCAGCAGCGUCUUCGGUGCGACGAAAGCUUGUUGAUGUGAUCAAUGUGGACGCAGCAGUUCCUAUCGAUAUUAAAAUAGUAAAAAAUGGAGAGACAGCUAAAGGAGAACAAAAAAUCGUAAUGAUGAUACCGGAUAAGAAACCCUUAAUCUCAAGACGAAUAGAAAACUACGAAAAUGAUUUCCGUAUUUCAUCUUAACACCUCGAAAAUGUUUAUAUUUAUAUAAAUAAUUUUUUACUGAAAUAAAUUCGAAAAUGGCUUAAAAUUAAAAGAUCUGUGCGAUUUGAUUAACUACCGGUGUAUGUAAUAAAAUAUGUGUCGAAUCUUUUAGUACUUAGAUGUUUAGUAUAAGAGGAUAUGGCAGAGAAUAAUAAACAGUCGCCAGUACUGAAAUUUGAAGAAAUCUAUACAUAUAAUAAAAUGGUAUGAAAGUCAAAACUGUGCAUUGAAUAUUUUGUUAAAAGAAUACUUGGGUUGUGAUCUGCAAUCGAUACCGAAGCCAAAAAUAAAGUUUUUAAAUUUUUUUU